rnacentral:rRNA from 1 species
UUAUUGGAGAGUUUGAUCCUGGCUCAGGAUGAACGCUGGCGGCGUGCCUAAUACAUGCAAGUCGAGCGGAUGGAUUAAGAGCUUGCUCUUAUGAAGUUAGCGGCGGACGGGUGAGUAACACGUGGGUAACCUG